AUGUGCAUUUUAAUUUAUUCCCUUAAGACACUUUCUGACUUUCUUUUCCUCAAUGUUGUCCAGUGCAUUUUUUCUAUUCCAUCCUACAUCAGGAACAUCAACAUGAGUGACCCAGCAGUACCAAAGGUUCCUCAGGAAGGAGUUGCAGGAGAAGGAGGAUCUGUUGAUGAGGGAAAGAAAAAGGGACAAGGAAAAGGAGGAAAAGGAGGAGAACAUGCGGAGAAAGGAGCUGGCCAUGGACAUGGUCAUGGCCAGGGUCAUGGUCAUGGUGGUGGUGGAGGUAAGGGUGGGCGAGGUGGCCACUAAGAAAAAAACUCAGCCCUGAAACAAUGACUGCCAUAUCCUCUUCAAUGGAACCAGGAACCAAACACAAACCCAAUAUAUUCAAUGGGGAGUAUUUGUUCAAGUUAAAACAAUUAUACUGUACUAAGAAACUUUAAUUUUUUGUAAAAGAAAAAGGUAAAUAAUAAAAAAGAAAUGUGAAACAUCCUCUAGAUAUACUGUGUUCUUUCAGUAUUUGCACAAAGUACAGUAGCUGCUUGAUCAUCACCCCAGUGGGGUUUGCACCUCAAUGGCAGAUUAAAUUAAUCAUUUCGCUGCUAAAUUCAAAACAUGAUUUGCAAAAUUUGAAA
rnacentral:lncRNA from 1 species